AUGUGAUCGUCUCUCGCAUAUCAAUAAGCGGAGGAAAAGAAACUAACAAGGAUUCCCCUAGUGAACGGCGAGUGAAGCGGGAAGAGCUCAAAUUUGAAAUCUUAAAGGGUUUCCCUUUACGAAUUGUAGUUUAAAGAAGUGUUUUCUGUUGAGGUUUUGGUAAAAGUUCUUUGGAAUAGGACAUCAUAGAGGGUGAGAAUCCCGUAUUUGACCUUUACUUUCAACUUUGUGAUACACUUUCAAAGAGUCGGAUUGUUUGGGAAUGCAGUCCAAAAUGGGUGGUAAAUUUCAUCUAAAGCUAAAUAUUGGCGAGAGACCGAUAGCGAACAAGUACCGUGAGGGAAAGAUGAAAAGAACUUUGAAAAGAGAGUUAAACAGUACGUGAAAUUGUCAAAAGGGAAGCGUUUGACACCAGUGUUGUUUUUCUGAAAAUCAAUUAAAGAACUGUUUAUGCUAAGCUGUUUAGACUUUAUCAGCUAUCUGUUUAGUUUUGAGCUUUUCUUUAAUGCACUUUUCAGUUAACAAGUCAACAUCAAUUUCUUUUGCUGUAAAAAAGCUUGAGGAAGGUGGCUUGAGAUUCGUCUUAAGUGUUUAUAGCCUCUUGCCUAUGCAGUCGGAGAGAUUGAGGUCUGCAGCGUAGAUCCUUCGGGGCUAAAUGCAUUUGUGCUAAGUUAUAGCAUUUUAUAGACAACUUGUUGACUAUGAUUUGUCUUGUAGCUUACUCGCUUAUGUUAUUUUACCUACGCUUAGGAUGUUGAGCGCAUGUCUCUCUCU
rnacentral:rRNA from 1 species